GAUAAAUAUUCUUCUGUUUAUUAAUUAAUGAUGUGCCAAAUUAACAAAUGAAAACCUAUUUUACAGCUCGAAGUUACAGACUCUGGUGUCGUCUGUCAGUUAGUCUGUCAGGUAGUCUGUCAGUUAGUCUGUGAGUUAGUCUGUGAGUUAGUCUGUCAGUCUGUCAGUUAGUCUGUAAGGUAGUCUGUCAGUUAGUCUGUCAGUCUGUCAGGUAGUCUGUUAGUCUGUCAGGUAGUCUGUCAGUUAGUCUGUCAGGUAGUCUGUCAGGUAGUCUGUCAGUCUGUCAGGUAGUCUGUUAGUCUGUCAGGUAGUCUGUCAGGUAGUCUGUCUGUUAGUCUGUCAGUCUGUCAGGUAGUCUGUCAGUCUGUCAGUUAGUCUGUCAGGUAGUCCAAUGAAAAGAACAGGAUGUAAACCACAAGCUGACACAUUUAAGAAGAGAGACUUGUUCUGAAUUACAACCAAACUGAUGUAAAUCCAAACGAGAGCCACCUGAUAAUCCUCCUCCACUACACUGUCAGAGUCCUACUGAGGAGAAGUCAUCCAUCCUGAACGCUCCUCCUCCUCCUCCUCCUCCUACACACACGCAUCAACACAUCCACCCUGAACGCUCCUCCUCCUCCUCCUACACACACACAUCAACACAUCCAUCCUGAACGUUCUUCCUCCUCCUCUUACAUACAACACAUCCAUCCUGAACAUUCCUCCUCCUCCUCCUCCUCCUCCUACACACAUCAACACAUCCACCCUGAACGCUCCUCCUCCUACACACAUCAACACAUCCAUUCUGAAUGUUCCUCCUCCUCCACACAUCCAUCCUGAAUGUUCCUCCUCCUACACACAUCAACACAUCCAUCCUGAACGUUCCUCCUCCUCCUCCUCCACACAUCCAUCCUGAAUGUUCCUCCUCCUACACACAUCAACACAUCCAUCCUGAACGUUCCUCCUCCUCCUCCUACACACAACACAUCCAUCCUGAACAUUCCUGCUCCUCCUCCUACACACAACACAUCCAUCCUGAACGUUCCUCCUCCUCCUCCUACACACACACAUUAACAGACUCCUGGAAGAGAUUAAAGUGCAACGAGUGAGACAGAGAGAAGAGAGAGAGAGAGAGAGAGAGAGAGAGAGAGAGAGAGAGAGAGAGAGAGCGAGAGCAAGAGAGAGAGAGAGAGAGAGCAAGAGAGAGAGAGAGAGAGAGAUGCCGAUCCUGGACUUUGAGGCUGGCCGUCUGUAGGUUUCCGUGACAACAAGACUGGAGUCCAGACUGGGACUAGGGUUCUGUUUGGAGCAAGCCAGCUGCUGGUUCAAAACUUCUUUGCCUCCACAGAUCAAAACUACUAGAGCUUGGUGGACGUUUGAUUUUUGGUUUAUUUUUAAAUGAACCCCUGGCGGGCAGAUGAGGGGGUGUCAGUCAUGAGAGGGGAGUUAGAAGAUGUUCUCUCACUCACUCACACACACACACACACACACACACACACACACACACACACAC